rnacentral:rRNA from 1 species
GUUGAACGCUGGCGGCAGGCUUAACACGUGCAAGUCGAGCGGAGACUUCGGUCUUAGCGGCGAACGGGUGAGUAAUACCUAGGAAUCUGCCUAUUAGUGGGGGAUAACGAAUCGAAAGGUUCGCUAAUACCGCAUACGUCCUACGGGAGAAAGGGGGGAGUCUUCGGACCUCUCGCUAAUAGAUGAGCCUAGGCCGGAUUAGCUAGUUGGUAGGGUAAAGGCCUACCAAGGCGACGAUCUGUAGCUGGUCUGAGAGGAUGGCCAGCCACACUGGAACUGAGACACGGUCCAGACUCCUACGGGAGGCAGCAGUGGGGAAUAUUGGACAAUGGGGGCGAACCCUGAUCCAGCCAUGCCGCGUGUGUGAAGAAGGCCUCGGUUGUAAGUA